AGGAUUUUAAGAUUGUUAACCAAUCAGAUCACCAGAAAUGUGUUUGUUUGCUGGCUGCUUGCCUUUUGAAAAGUUAAUAACAACAGCCAAACUGUACUAUUAAAAAUAUUUUUGUUUCAGUAUAAAAGUCUAAAUUAAAGCUUAAGAAAAUGUUUUAAUAAGAGCAAUCUGAGGUUUGCUUUACUAUUCUUGCUUUACUAUAAUUUGAGAUUUAAUGUUAUUGAUUACCAAUGAAUCAUUUUUUUUGAGAGUCAGAAUUAUGAUAUGGCCCACAGUUGUCAAAAAACUUUCUUUUUUAAGUUUUAUGCCUUAGAAAGGUCAUUGAUUUCAAGUCAGAGUCUUCUCCAGUGGAAAUCCAAGUAUAACCUGGAAAUUCAUUUCCUUAUGCCUGACCUCAGAUAAGCUUUGUUUUUCUGAUGAGAUGUAUAUUAGCUUUUAGAUUCCUUUGAACUUAAUCCACAAUGCAUUAUCAAACAUUCGAUUUUUCAA
rnacentral:lncRNA from 1 species